rnacentral:lncRNA from 1 species
GCCUUUAAGGGCCGCUGGGGGCGUGCUAGCCGCAGCCGCGGGCGCUCCGAGAGGUGAGCUCCGAGGCUCCCCGGCGGUGCGGCUCCGACUCGGGGGACUGGGCUGCGCCGCGACCGACCUCCUCCACCUCCUCCCCCGGCACGCGGGCCGGCGGGCCAUGCGCCGCGGACUUUGACUGGCCCCGGCGCGGCUCGGCCAUGGGCAGCUUCCAGCUGGAAGACUUCGCGGCGGGCUGGAUCGGAGGUGCAGCCAGUGUCAUCAUCGGCCACCCUCUAGACACAGUCAAGGUACUGCAGCCGUGUUUGUCAUUACUUCUUGGAAAGUGGCCUGGAGUGAGUCUGCCUCCAGGAAUGUGUCUGCUCUUUCUUUUCCCAAGACAGUCUCCAGCCCAGGGCAGAUUCUAUAUGCCAAGCCAGGGGUGGGGUGCCAAGAGGCCUGGUUUGGAAUCAUCACUCUCCUCUCAUGACUUGGCAGUGAUUGUGUUUUUGUGAAGCCCCAUUUCUGCCCCCAGGUGCUCGUGGGCUGUGGGGGGGAGGCGGGGGCAAGGAGAGGGUAAGUAAUCCUAUUGGUCUCUGUGGAACUAAGGAUCCAGGAGGGGCUUCAGGUGCAAAGUGGCAUCUGAGUCCAAGAUUUAAGGUUGGGUUUCAGGUGAUUAGAAAAGAUGUUCCUGGCUCAGCAGCAAGAGCUAAGCAGUGAGAUGGGGACACUGUUUGGGGGGCGAUGCUUGGGAAAAGCCAGCGUGGCUGGUUUGGUGAUGCAUCAGACUUCUGAAAGCUGCUAUAGAUCAGAAUCCAGGAAAGGUGGUCAUUGCUCAAUCCUGGGAGACCUUCGCUGUCAGAGUAGGACUGUGGACCUGGGGCAGCCCGGGUAGCUCAGCGGUUUAGAGCCACUUUCAGCCCAGGGCGUGAUCCUGGAGAUCCAGGAUCGAGUUCCAUGUUGGGGUCCCUGCAUGGAGUCUGCUCCUCCCUCUGCCUGUGUCUCUGCCUCUCUCUCUGUCUGUCGUGAAUAAAUAAAAUCUUAAAAAAAAAAAAAAAGGACUG